UACAGAGGUGGCAAGCGUUGUUCGGAAUUACUGGGCGUAAAGGGCGCGUAGGUGGUUCGCUAAGUCCCAUGUGAAAGCCCUCGGCUCAACUGAGGAAUGGCAUGGGAAACUGGUGGGCUAGAGUUCGGGAGAGGGAAGCGGAAUUCCGGGUGUAGCGGUGAAAUGCGUAGAUAUCCGGAGGAACACCGGUGGCGAAGGCGGCUUCCUGGACCGACACUGACACUGAGGCGCGAAAGCUAGGGGAGCAAACGGG
rnacentral:rRNA from 1 species